rnacentral:rRNA from 1 species
UACAGAGGUCUCAAGCGUUGUUCGGAUUCAUUGGGCGUAAAGGGUGCGUAGGUGGCGCCGUAAGUCGGGUGUGAAAUUUCGGAGCUUAACUCCGAAACUGCAUUCGAUACUACCGUGCUUGAGGACUGGAGAGGAGACUGGAAUUUACGGUGUAGCGGUGAAAUGCGUAGAUAUCGUAAGGAAGACCAGUGGCGAAGGCGGGUCUCUGGACAGUUCCUGACGCUGAGGCACGAAGGUCAGGGGAGCAAACGGG